CACCCCUUUUCUUCGCGUCCUAUACCUCCUCCUCUUCUUGUUCUAGGGUUUUGCCCGGGCUUAGGGUUCCGCCGGGCUGCCGUUUUCUCCCUCCAAACAACCCGAUUUCUCGAUUCGGCGCUUCUGAUUCGAAAGUCUUGCACGAAGCACCCCGGGCUUAGCUGAAGAACUCCGUGACGACGGAAGCCCCAAUGCUGGUGCCAGAUAGAUUCGCCGUUCCUUGUUGCAGUUCUGUUCACGAAUUCCUACGACCGAUCUGUGUCAAUGUAACGGCUAAACUUUAGAUUUUUUAUGAUGUUUCUUUCCAUCUGUUUGUUAUCUUUUGCCUCUCCACACCUUUAGCUUUUUGAGGUUUCGUUCCCCAGUGAGUCUAGUCAUGGAGGCAUACAGCGAAAACGGCGGGGUUAACGUGGGGGCUUACUCCUUUUUCCAUGGUUUUGCCUCUAAAAUCUCUCGCCACAACUAGGUGCCCAACAAAAGCUUGGAAAUUUGUAUUUAUUCGCCAAUAUCACGUGAUGAGCUAAAAAAGAUCCGAAACCCUUUUUAUUUUUUCCCUUCAAGUGGAUAUUGUUUGAUGCCUCUAUAAGUUUCUCUAGUAUCUAUAUUGGCUGUUGAUGAUAUUUUUGCGAUCAGGAUACGAGGGAAAAAAUGGAUUGAGUUUUCCCCUUUGUGGAGGGGGUACUAUAUUUUUCACUUAAAAUGCUCUACUCUUGGCAAUGGAUAUAACCUACCUGCGCUUCUGAUAAUUGUUCAUGAAGCAUAUGAAAAGAAUGGUCGAAUUCCUUGAUAUGGGCUGAUGCGACAAAAUGUGCAUAUCUUUUUAGGAUUUGCUUUUAAUUUUCUAGAAAAAAUUCAACUGCUAGGAUAAUGAGGUAUUCUAUUCUUCUAUUUGUUUUAGACUCAUUGUGAUGCAUUGUCUGCGAUGAGAAUCUAGACAGCUUCAAAAACGCCAGUUCUGCUUCAGAAUGAUAGAGGAAGCUGUUCUGAGCCUCGCGGGCUCUGAUAGCUGGAAUUGUAAUUUUCCCAGCUGCCUAUGAUGAUAUCUCCAAGUUUAUGAGGUGUAGAUAGCUUCAAGUCCCUGUUUUACAGGGAGAACCUGCUUGGAGCUGCUACAUUCAAAUGACAUCAGUGGACUUUUCUGAGGUAUUGUUUCUUUUUUGACCAUGAUGUUAUCUUGAUGUGCAUGAAUUAUAGUGAUUAACAAAGUACAUUCGGGCUGUUUCUAAACUCUUAUUUCUUUUAUGUAUUUAAUAUACUGUUUUUUUAAUGAAAAAUAUUGAGGAGUGAUUUCAGCUGGACGUGAUGGUAGAAGCAUUAGCCUUUUUUGCUUUUUAAACACUCACUUUGAAGUGUAUAUCUUGUACAUAAGUAUUUGGUCGUUGAAUGGUAAGCCUUUUUUGUGAAACACAAAACUUUUAGCUUUUUGCCACUGCCAAUGAUGAUUUGUCUGCAAAAUGGAUGUGUUGUGGAACCAAGUCCCUGCUUGCAGGGAGAACCUACUUGGGGAAGCAGCAGUUAACAUGACAUCAACAGAUAUUUCUGAGGCAUAGAGAAUUAUAUGUUCACCCUUUGAAUUUUCUUUGACUUUUCUUUCACUGUUAAGAAAUUUUUGGUGAUGCUACUUGCAAGCUAUGUCUGUAAUUCUUAUGUACACUAUCUAUACAACACACUACAUGGCAUAGGGUACAUCUUCAGAAUGGAAGGCGAAUAUACUUUGUGCAUAAAACAAUCUGCAGCUCUACCUUUCCUCCUAAAGUAAAGGCCAACUUACCCUGAACUAAAUCCCCAACUCAAGUUUUAGCUCGGUCUGCAUGUAAUAUUUUAAACUUAGGCUACAUGUUCCACAGCAUUCUGUCUUUUACUGAUAUGUAACGUUUUAGAUUAUUUUAAACUCAAUAUCUUCAAAUAAUUAGUGGUGCUCCCAAGAUUGAUAAGGUUUUGAAACAAUAAUAUUUGAUAAUUAAUCUUUUUGCUUCUUGAGUUACAAAAAUAUAGGGAUUAUUCUUACUUGUAUUUUGCUUUUAACUAAUCAUAGGACAUGUUUCUUCUAUUUGGCUAUAGUUGAUAUUGGAGGUUCUACAUUGUUCCCAUGUCUAAGUAAAUCUUUUCAUUCUGAGGUUAUCAUUGGACUAACAUGUCGACACUUCAGCUUUUUUGCUUCUCUACAUUUUUUUGGUGGAGCUUAUUGAUGGAACAUGUGAACCUUAUUGUUUUGUUGUAUGCUUUAUUGGUCGCGUUCUCUAUGAUGUUGAAUUUUGUUCUCAAGGUCUCUCUCUCUCUCUCUCUCUCAGUAUAGAGCUUAUCCCUUCUUUUCCCUCUUGAUUUUUAGGUUUUUCUCCGUUUUCUCCUGAUAUUAUGUGGUAGAUUUUAUAAUGAUGGUUAGGAUUUGCGCUACAUGUACCAAGGUUAGGGUUUUGGGUUGCCCUGGUCUUGAAGUUGCCAGAUCUGGCUGUAGCUAUAUGAAUCAAGAGAAGAGGGAAGAAAACUGGUCGGCUUGUCCUCCUUAUUGUUGGCAACCCGCUUACCAAGCUUCCCACAUUAAUCGGUUCUUAAAAAGUAGCGUCCUAUUUUAUUCUUUUUUAUUUUUUGUGAGAAGGGCAGAAGAAGGAUAUGGUGCAUGUGUUAGCCAUUUUUAGAGGACCUUCUCACACAGCAAGAGCUAUCCAUUUUCUUUGAUUUUUUAAUGUUUUUAUUAAUUUUUCAAAGUGAUGAUAGCUCGGCCAUUAUCCAGGUAAGCUGCUUUUUAACGGUUGCAGAUUGUGUCAUCAAUGCCUACAUCUGAGUCUUAUUUUCUUUUAAUCUGUCGCUCUAUUGGUCCAUGCUGUUCUCUAUAAUCUGCAAUUAUAUUUUUGCUCUUAUUUUCACUCUAUUUGUUUUUUGAGGAAAUAUUUGUACUUUUAUAUUGAUUUAUUAGUUUGUAGCGUUUAAUUUUUUAAUUACUUUUUUGGUUGUGUAUUGCUAUGAAACAUUUUGGUGCUUCUAUGUUUUGGACUUCACACCUAAGUGCAACUAGUUUGAUCUGGGAUUAUGGCUGAUAUGCCACCCAUCAAAUUAGAAAGAGGUUGCAGAGUUUAAUUACUGUAGAAAGAGCUUUAUAAAGAUUUUAAGUAGGUGUUAGAUUUGUCUUUACCCUGUUGCUGAUCAUCAGAAAGAUUGAAAACAUACGGUCCUGGUAUUUUGGAUUGGGCUUUCAAUCUCAGGAUCGAAAUGACACAAAGUCUUGUACUGCAGCAAAUUCUUGAAUUGUCAACAUGAUAUCGCUGAUAUACUGGGACAACUCAUUGUUGCUUACUGGGUGACAAGGACUAGAGUUUCAUAGUAUGUAUUAGUCUUUAUUAACAUCUUGUAAGGACUGAAAACCAAGUGUGACUUUUUAUUAUGUAGAUCUUUCCUUUGUGAUUGCAGUGAAGAUUUAUAUAUAGAUAUAGCCUAAAGUUACUUGAAUGUCUGCAAGCCUCCAAUUCUUUCUAAUUGUAGCCAUGUUGAGAGCUUGUAAACAUUUGAUUUAUUUAUUAAAUGAAUUUUAGCUUGUAUUUACAAGA